AGAGUUUGAUCCUGGCUCAGGAUGAACGCUAGCGGCAGGCUUAACACAUGCAAGUCGAGGGGUAUAGUUCUUCGGAACUAGAGACCGGCGCACGGGUGCGCAACGCGUAUGCAAUCUACCUUUUGCAGAGGGAUAGCCCAGAGAAAUUUGGAUUAAUACCUCAUAGUAUGUGAGAAUGGCAUCAUUUUCGCAUUAAAGUCACAACGGCAAAAGAUGAGCAUGCGUCCCAUUAGCUAGUUGGUAAGGUAACGGCUUACCAAGGCAACGAUGGGUAGGGGUCCUGAGAGGGAGAUCCCCCACACUGGUACUGAGACACGGACCAGACUCCUACGGGAGGCAGCAGUGAGGAAUAUUGGACAAUGGGCGCAAGCCUGAUCCAGCCAUGCCGCGUGCAGGAUGACGGUCCUAUGGAUUGUAAACUGCUUUUGUACAGGAAGAAACACUGGUUCGUGAACCAGCUUGACGGUACUGUAAGAAUAAGGAUCGGCUAACUCCGUGCCAGCAGCCGCGGUAAUACGGAGGAUCCAAGCGUUAUCCGGAAUCAUUGGGUUUAAAGGGUCCGUAGGCGGUUUAAUAAGUCAGUGGUGAAAGCCCAUCGCUCAACGGUGGAACGGCCAUUGAUACUGCUAGACUUGAAUUAUUAGGAAGUAACUAGAAUAUGUAGUGUAGCGGUGAAAUGCGUAGA
rnacentral:rRNA from 1 species